UGGUGUUUCUUCGUCUUCUGUAGCC
rnacentral:piRNA from 1 species